rnacentral:sRNA from 1 species
AUUCUACCCAUGUGGGGAAGGAUGAGAAGCUUCGACUAAGGUUCGAUUCGAGCGCAGCGAGCAAGCGUUGCCAACGGCAACGACCCGAAGGGCGAAGCGCGCAGCGCUGAGACAUCCUUCCCCCACCAGCA